CCCCUUCCGGUCAGUGAGGAAGCUAAACCUCAUGGACCGGAAGGGAUUCCUUCCAGUUAUUAGGGAAGAUUUACCUCAUUUGCUAAACCUUGUUGACCGGAAGGAAUCCCUUCCUGUUGAUGAGGUAUAGCUUCCUCAUCAACUAGAAGGAC
rnacentral:miRNA from 1 species